GUGCAAGAUUUGGAUGAACAUUAUUACUAUUAUUACAACAAUAAUGAGAAAGUGUUAAAGAAGAAGGGUGAGAUGAGCAAUAGCAACAAGAACGAUG
rnacentral:ribozyme from 1 species